rnacentral:tRNA from 1 species
GCGCUCGUGGCGGAAUGGCAGACGCGCUAGAUUCAGGUUCUAGUGGGGAAACCCGUGCAGGUUCAAGUCCUGCCGAGCGCA